rnacentral:lncRNA from 1 species
CCGGCACAGUGUGAGGCCUUUAGGCAGAAGCAGAGUGAGACUGAGGCUGGCUCUUGGGCAACUCACAUUCUGCAGGGGAAGCCAGGUCAGGGAGGAGGCAGAGGGACGGGAGCAGGUGCAGCAAGAAGAGCCAAGGACGCAUCGCAUCGGAGGUUCCCGGAGAGGCCGCUCCCUGGGUGCGGGGGAGGGGCUUUGAGUAGAGCAAGUUGAAGGUGGACGGUGCGACCCACAGAAGUAAGGAGCUGGCCGCCGGCUGGGGAGGGGCAGAGGAUGCACCCACAGGGGCGUCAGGGCCAGGUCAGGAGAGCCUCCUGGGGCAAGAUGGGAAGACUCGAUUUCCCAGGGGCUUUUAAUGCAGAUGAGUGGCGAGUUUCUGCUGGCAGCCUGGCUGCAGGUGCGGGGUUGGGCAUCUCAUCUCCUCUGUGCCCACUGGUGUCAGGAGACCGCAUGCAGGCUCCAAGUGCUCUCUGCACUGUGAGUAUGACGUAUCUGCUAAAUGCCUGCAACCUGCACUCUAUCCCUUUCUCCAAUGUAAUUACCUUACCUCCCUGAAUUCAGAGAAAUGUUAUCUGCAUCCCAGCAAUGAAGUGGACCAGCACACAGUUUAGGAAACCUUUGACUUUCAAUGAAAUAGUAGGCAUAGUGCUGCACGCCUGUAAUCCCAGCACUCAAAGAGGCUGAGGCAGGAGGAUCACUGUGGGUUCAAGGCCAGCCUGAACUGCAUAGCAUGACCCAGUCUCAAAAAAGAAAAAAAUUAAAAAAUAAAGACCCAACAAGUACAUGAACUAAGAAGUGAUUGAUAUACUUUUUCAAUAAG